GUCUUCAGGGCAGUUUCAGACUUCAGUUUAUGGAUUCCUUGUUUGGGAAUGAGUUUCUUAACCUUACCUCAGUUUCAGAAGUAGCAGACAAAGGGACUCUUAAAGCUAUUGACAUGUCAAAGCCCACCACAUGGACAUAAAAAAGAGUAACAGAGAUGGUGAAACUGAAGAUGGAAAAGACUUUUUCAUACAGAAGACAUGAAGUUGUUCGUGAUGCACCAAUGGUGGAGGCUUUCAUGGCAAGAUGGCCUGCUCUAUUUGACUUCCAUGAGAUCAACGCUGAGUUUAAGAGAAUUGCCACCAUCCCCCCCUCAAACAAAGUUCCUGGCUCAGCUGGAUCUCCACUUGGGCAACCUGGUGAAGUUGGUCAACAGAAGAGGAGGGCUUGGACUAAUAUCGAAAAGAAUUGCGGCACAAAUGGAUAAUUGUGAAGAUGUUGAUGCUGGACGUGAGUGUGUCAAGGGAGUGUGUAUCUACAUGGGUGAAGACCCUGACAUGCUUAUCCGGGAGUAUGUGGUAUGUACUUCUUUUUUUUUUUUUCCUUUUUUUUUUUCCCGGACUUUCCACAGUGUGUCAUAUUACUUACUUGGCAUGAAAUGACUAACAUGGCUUCCUUUUUACAGGGCAUGGAAGAAUGUGCCAUCAAUGAGACUGUUGAAGACACCACUGUUCGAAUUUAUCUUCUUAAAGAGCAAGCUUCAGCAGAAGAACAAGAGUUGUUCUUGCAGGCAUCAGGGUGGUGAAGAAUUUGGAUAAUAUAGCAUUUGCUGUGAUAAUGCUAUUUGGACUCAUGUAUGCAUUAAACCUUGCCUACCCUGCUGACCUCCGCUACAACUUGGACAUUUUCCAGAAGGUUUUCAUGGAACUGGAUGGAGCUAAACUCUCUAAAGGUCUUGCUUUCAAAAACCAUCUGUUUCAUUGAGAAGUCAAAGACAGCACUUCUGCAAUUCUUUGCAGUUUUUCAUUUUGUGUUCAGUAACGUUAUACUGCUUAUGUUUUUAUUGCUUUCCCCUCAUGUGACUGCAAUGCAGGAAGAUUUUUCCUUUUGGUAUCAUGUUGUAAGAAAUUUUUACUGACGAUUUUUAGCAAUAUGUUCUGAGUCAACCUUAAUGUCCUGCUUAUAUGUUUAAA
ensembl:lncRNA